AGUGAACGCUGGCGGUAGGCCUAACACAUGCGAGUCGAACGGCAGCACAGUAAGAGCUUGCUCUUACGGGUGGCGAGUGGCGGACGGGUGAGGAAUACAUCGGAAUCUACUUUUUCGUGGGGGAUAACGUAGGGAAACUUACGCUAAUACCGCAUACGACCUACGGGUGAAAGCAGGGGAUCUUCGGACCUUGCGCGAUUGAAUGAGCCGAUGUCGGAUUAGCUAGUUGGCGGGGUAAAGGCCCACCAAGGCGACGAUCCGUAGCUGGUCUGAGAGGAUGAUCAGCCACACUGGAACUGAGACACGGUCCAGACUCCUACGGGAGGCAGCAGUGAGGAAUAUUGGACAAUGGGCGCAAGCCUGAUCCAGCCAUACCGCGUGGGUGAAGAAGGCCUUCGGGUUGUAAAGCCCUUUUGUUGGGAAAGAAAAGCAGCAGGUUAAUACCCCGCUGUUCUGACGGUACCCAAAGAAUAAGCACCGGCUAACUUCGUG
rnacentral:rRNA from 1 species